UACAGAGGGUGCGAGCGUUAAUCGGAGUUACUGGGCGUAAAGGGCGCGUAGGCGGUUAUAUAAGUGAGAUGUGAAAUCCCUGGGCUUAACCUAGGAACUGCAUCUCAUACUGUAUGACUGGAGUAUUGUAGAGGGUAGUGGAAUUUCCGGUGUAGCGGUGAAAUGCGUAGAGAUCGGAAGGAACACCAGUGGCGAAGGCGGCUACCUGGACAAAUACUGACGCUGAGGCGCGAGAGCGUGGGGA
rnacentral:rRNA from 1 species